UCGCCUGUUUUUCAAAAACAUAGUUUAAAGAAAUUAUUUUAAAUUAAUCCUGCCCAGUGUUAAAAAUAAAUGGCCGCAGUACCUUGACUGUGCUAAGGUAGCAUAAUCAAUUGGCUUUUAAUUAAAGUCUGGAAUGAAUGGAUAAAUGAAGUCUUUCUGUCUUAUAGGUAUUUAUUUGAAUUUAUUUAUUAGGUGAAAAUACCUAAAUUUAUGAAAAAAGACGAGAAGACCCUUAGAAUUUUUAAAAAUAAUUGAUUAACAAUUUAAUUUUUUUGUUGGGGCGACAAAUAAGCAUUUGAACCUUAUUUAAAAAUUAUUUGACGAAUAUUUUAAGAAAAAUUAAAUUACCUUAGGGAUAACAGCAUAAUUAAUUAUUUAGUUUGUGACCUCGAUGUUGGACUAAGAACUUUAUGACUAGCAGUCAAAAAAGAUUUGUUCUGUUCGAACAAUUUUAUCUUACGUGAUCUGAUUCCAAACCGGC
rnacentral:rRNA from 1 species